UAGAAAUCUUGAAGGGGACAAAUGCGUUUUCACAGCACUGGACAGUGGGGUGAAACCCUGCUUGAAAACCAAAAAUAUUGAUCAGAAGAAUUUUACAGACUCUGUCUUGUUGUGAUGUUGUGAAUGGAGCACAUGGAGAGAAGAGGUGAGUGAACGAGACAUCUGUCCACGCCCAAAGCUCAUGCAGGUUUAAGACGGAUUAGAAAGAUGGCAAGUAUCGCUGCAGGUAAACCAAAGAUGAAGCUCCUGGCCAAGACGCUCUUUUUAGGAAUCAAGUAGAGCUGCCAAUGUAAAACAAGCUUCACUUUUAAAAAAAGAUUUUUUUUAAAUUUCCUUUCAAUGUAAAAUUUUGCAGGCUACCAGAUGCAGCAACAUACAAAGAUGUAUAAAGGAAUUUUAUGGUCACAAAAAAAAUAUUUUUUUUUUUAAAAAUUGCAAGAAUAAUGAAGUAUUUGUCCAAGGGACAAUGUGAUUUUACAAAAAUAAAUUCAUAGUUACAAGAGAAAAAGUGGCAAUUUUAUAAGAAUAGUUAUUAUAAGGCGGCAUGGUGGCCGGCUGGGUAGAGCGUCAGCCUCACAGUUCUGAGGUGCGGGGUUCAAUCCCUGGCCCCGCCUGUGUAGAGUUUGCCUGUUCUCCCCGUGCCUGCGUGGGUUUUCUUCGGGCACUCCGGUUUCCUCCCACAUCCCAAAAACAUGCAUUAACGGGAGACUCUAAAUUGCCCGUAGGUGUGACUGUGAGUGCGAAUGGUCGUUUGUUUGUAUGAGCCCUGCGAUUGGCUGGCAACCAGUUCAGGGUGUACCCCGCCUCCUGCCCGAUGACAGCUGGGAUAGGCUCCAGAACGCCCGCGACCCUCGUGAGGCGAAGCGGCUCAGAAAAUGGAUGGAUGGAUGGAAAGUUAUUAUAAGAAAAAGGUUUUGUUUUUUUUAGAAUAAAACAAUUACAUUUUGAAUGGAAACAAAUGAAAAUCUAUUCCAAAAAAUGAGAAAAAGUCUCUUUGUCAUUUUAGGAGAAUAAAGUGAUAUCAUGAGGAGAAAUGUAAUAUGACGAGAAUGUUUUCUAUUUGUGAGGCAUUUUUUGGAUUAUUCGUGAGAAAAGAAGGUGAAUGUUAUGAUAAUAAUGUAAUAGUGAGGAAAAAAUUGUAAUUUUUAAAUUGUAAUAUUACAUUUUUCUCAUAAAGAAUGUUUUCGAUACUACCAUUAAUUUUCUUAUUAACCAUGGUUUUCUCCAGGCACUCCGGUUUCCUCCCACAUCCCAAAAACAUGCAUGGUAGAUGAAUCGAAGUCUCUAAAUUGAAUGUGAGUGCGAAUGGUUGUUUGUUGAUGUGUGCCCUGCGAUUGGCUGGCAACCAGUUGAGGGUGUACCCCGCCUCCUGCCCGAAGAUAGCUGGGACAGGCUCCAGCACGCCCGCGACCAAAUUCAAAAAUAAUGGUAAAAAUAUAUCAUUUAAAAAAAUGAACAAAAAUAAGCUCACAGUAGACGUUUGAUCCCAAGAUUUGUAUUCCAAAAUAUUUUUGAAUGGCUCAAUUUGACCCUCAUCACACUCGGAGAGUUCAAUCGAGCGAAGUAAGUUUCAUACCAAAAAAACGUCUUUUCAAUAUGACCUCGAAAAAUAGCAGGAGGGUUCAUUAGCGGGCUGGGAGAUCUUUGAGUGUCCCGGGCACAAAGUGAGGAUGCUGAUCUUGUCCAUGCAGGUUGUAAGAGAGGGCAGAAAGCAUCUGUUGCUAAGUCGCACGGCACCUGGACACCAUUCCCACAUGCAGCAAAAUCCACCAGAUUUGUUUUUCCAUUGCAGAUGGUCACUUGCACGUUUUCUUCAUCCCAUUGGUCCGGGUCCCGCAGUGACAGUGGCUCAUAUAUAAGGCGGCACUCUCGCUCUCUCUUUCUCUUCUUGUGUGCUGCAAAUCCUGGGCCCACGCUCCUCCCGAAGACUUGCAACUGCAGGACUCCACAAUCAUGUCAGGCACGUCGGUUUUGAUGAUACUGUGCUGGGAGUUGAAGUACACCAUGGACAGAGGCUGUCGCUCCGUGGGAACGCAACACGAAGACGCAGCCGUGUUGAUACCGUUGACCUUCAGCUGGCUCAAGACGGUGGCGUGGAAGGACGCGGCGAUACCUGGAGAUCCGGCCAGCACACGGUGACGUCAUCGCCGCACCGCAAUGAGCGCUUCCUGAGCAAGUGUCUGGCGGGGUCGUCGCGUAGACGCACCUGGGCCAUCAGGAAGGGCUUAUACGGGGUGUUGGCGGAGUUUUCCA